UUGUAUUUGAUAUUUUGAGGAAACCCAUGAAUCUUAUAGCACUUAUCAAUUAAGUGCCCAGAUUUCUUGCAGUAUCUGCAAAAUAAAGGCCCUCUACUUUGCUCAAAAUUAACUCUGAGUCUGAAAACAGGGGGACUAGGCACUGUGGCCUGAUUAAACCCAUCUGAGUGCUUAUUUGUAUUAGCAUUAAAAGACAUAGAGUCUGGACUGAUUUGAGAAAUAGAUU
rnacentral:lncRNA from 1 species